rnacentral:lncRNA from 1 species
GGAGGGUGAAACAUUUAGAUUUACCUUUCUAUUCCACUAAUAACUAUUGAGCCCAACGCACAUGAAUAGCUCUGUGCUGUGAACUUAGAAUGAAGCAGAUGUUAUCUAUUGAGAACUUAUAAUUUAGUUGAAAGGUAAGACUUAAAUAGCUAUAAUGCAAGAAAGAAUAUACCAGAAGCAUAUAAAGGAAAUACAAGCAAUGCACUGUAGGGGAUUCCAUUUAUGUAGAACAAUCUUUAGAAGUUUUAUCAAAUGAUUUUUGUUAUGACAUCAGAAUAUGCAAUGAUAUUAUUGUGACAUUUCAUUUUAAUUAAAACCAGCUAUUUCCAGGGAUCUCAUAGUAGACAUGUCCCAGCGUGUAGCAAGCCGUAAGAUAGCCCUGGUGUAUUUGAAGAUUCUAUGUAGGAGAUAAAUAUUAUUGAGGUCUUUAAAGAAAAAAAAUCAGAAUGCUUCUUAUUCCCUACAGAAUGAAAUAGAGCUGUGAGUAAAAUAAUUCUGAAUAUUCAUCAUCAGAGUUGAAAAAAGAAAACUGGAAAUUUGACCAUUAGAUGAAAAAUCUAAUGAAAUUAAGAGAUAAAUGAAAGCAUUCCAGUUGCCAUGCAGUGUUAUCUGUCUUCAGUUUAGCAAGUCACACAAACUGCAGGCUGAUGUAGAUGUUUUUUCUAUAGGAUGGUGCUCUCCCCAGGGAAC